AGAAUUUGAGGGAGGUAUGGUGGACAUGUCCAUAUGGUAAAUUUCUAACAGUGCUCUGCCAGAUUAGCCUUCAGAAAGAUCGCACCCAUUUCCACCUUCACAAGACUAUUCUGGGGAUACAAGUGAAAACACUUGGAAGAGUUCAAGGUACAAUAUCAUAAAUAUAGGUACCUCUCCCAAGGAACAAAGACCAUCAAAGACAAUCUGCUCCACGGUAGCUAUUUGGGAUAGAUAUCCAUAGAAUACCAUUUUUGGUAUUUGAUGAUGAAGGCACUGAAAAUGUGGGUCUCUCAUUCAAGCCAGCUUUGCUAGACUCUACCAUGUCUGGUGGGUCUCAAGGCAUCUAGAAAUAGAUGUCAUAGAGGGAAUCCUAGUUCCAGAAGGAAUCUUGGAGAGGAGAAUGUUCCAGACUUCUUUUGUGAAGUAGAGGGACCCACAAAAUAUUUCCAAAACUAAAAUCUCCCACAGAAACAUAAGCUAACAGAAGAGAUGAGAGCUGUGCUGUUUUGUACUCAAGUGUGGUGGUAGCAUUUGCCUUUCCUCCAUCCCAAAUGGGCCAAAGGCUGGCAAAUCCUAGUACACAAAAUAGUACUCCUAGCCAAGCCUUCUAUCUAUUGUACCCAAUGUCUGCUGCUUAACAAGCAAUGAGGUGGGGCCCUUUGCUUUCGGUGGGGUAACUUAGGACAAGAAGAAGAGACUGGAGAUGAAAAAGCCUAUCUAUUAAUGCAAAUGGAAAGAUGUGGGAUAUCUAAAGAAAUAGAUGCCAGAAGCCAGCCAGAAUGGGCAUUUCUAAACAAUGUGGAAAGGCAAAGUGAAAUAUGUCCAUUUAUCCAGGUGUGGGCUCUCCCUGACACAGGAGUACAGAAAAUGAACAGGAAGAAGACGGGCAACAGGGGAAAUUGAACUCUGCUAAGAACCAGGAUGAACAAGGAAAUGGGAUGCCCAUCUAGAGCAUCCAGAAAGGAACGCAGGAUGCUGACAUACUGAUCUUAGUCCAGGGAGACUCAUGCUGAAUCUGUGACCCACAGAACCAUGAGCAAUUUAGGUGAAAGAAGAACAUGUUUCGCAAGUGUGGAUGCUUCACGUUUCUGGGAUUAGUGCUAUACCCUCCCCCCCAAAUUCAUGAAUAAAGGACAAAGGAGGACCCAGAAGUUAUCUAUGGAAGACUUCAUGGGACUAUGUUGUUUCCAUCAUCAUUGAAAUAUCUCAGAGUCUGGCUUCCAAAGCCCUCCAGGAUAUGUCCUCAUUCUCUAAAAACCCAGCUGGUACCACCAACCUUCUAGUCAGGAGGGUCUCUCCUGCGUACCCCCAACUUUCAUGGCCAAUCCCCUCUUUAUGACCCAUUCCAGGUCUCUAGGCCUGACCUCUCUCUUCUCUGUGGUUUUUUCUCUUCUUCAAAUAUUUCCUUAUCCAUCCGGGAUCAAGAACCCAUUGUCCAUAAAAAUGGAGGAAAUUCUCCUAAGUAUCAACUCCACUUACUCUCAGUCCCCUCAUUGCUCAGAACCUAAUUCUUCCAUGUGUGCUACUGUUUCUCUCCUCCCCACAGGGUGGGGAUUGCUUACAGACAUCAAACUCAUCCCCCUCCCUCCCAGAGCAAGGGCUUGGACGGCCAGCUUUGGCAGACAAAGCCAGGAGGUCCUGGGCAGUACCUAGCUUCCACGUCAACUACAGAAUGUAUUGGGGUAGCACGAACACUUGCUAAUUUAUUUUUUCCUAAAUUACAGGUUAAACAAAAGUAAACAAACAAAAAAGGAACUGAAGCAGCCUGAUAGUUUUGAAUUCUUGUCAUUUCUUUCUCUAAUUUGAGCUGAGCAAGGGCUUUUUUAAUAUACCUUUUCAAAUGUGGUAGUUUUCUAUGCACCCUCCCACCCUCGGCCAGAAAGUUGCUUUUUUCCUUUUUUAAGUACAGAACAAUGGUCUAAUUGUACCAUGGUGUUUACAGAAGGUGUUCUGUUUCUGUUAAAAUGUGUAUCCUAUCCCAAGGUGUUUUCCAUUAUGUCAUUUUACACAAUUUAAGGCCUAAAUAUAAAUUGUUACUUGGAAAGUGCACUACUUCCCAGACAAAAAUGAGACCCCCUCCCCAAGACCACUGAUGGCCUGUGACAUCAGAUGGAUUUUACAUAAUAAUCUACCUCAGACCAGCAAGUAUGGCUCUGAUAAGACAUGGGGUACGUGCGGGAGAGGUACAACCUGAAAUACAAGUUUAAAGGCACUCACUGGUCUUACAUUUCACAGGUGCUUGUGGACAAGUACCUCUCCUCGCCAUGGAAGUGAACAGACACAGCGACGUGGCCAUGCUACCAUAGAGCACGAGAUGGAAAAGCGCCACAUACCACUGUGCAGCAAGUGGUAGUUUGAACUCCUGUAUGCAUGGCUUAUUAUACACACGCUACUGAGAUUUAAUUCGUUAUGCUUCAUCUGGCAACCGGUUUUUUUCUCAUUACCUCCACAAACCAAAAGGCAUUUUUCUCAUGACUUCCACAAACCAAAACUGUAAUUCCACAUCUAUACUAUGACUCUGAACUGGUGACUGCAUACAUUAUAAACUUUACAUAAAUGU